rnacentral:rRNA from 1 species
AUUGAACGCUGGCGGCAUGCUUUACACAUGCAAGUCGAACGGUAACAGGGUGCUUGCACCGCUGACGAGUGGCGAACGGGUGAGUAAUGCGUCGGAACGUGCCGAGUAGUGGGGGAUAACGCAGCGAAAGUUGUGCUAAUACCGCAUACGUACUGAGGUAGAAAGUGGGGGACCUUCGGGCCUCACGCUAUUCGAGCGGCCGACGUCUGAUUAGCUAGUAGGUGAGGUAAAGGCUCACCUAGGCGACGAUCAGUAGCGGGUCUGAGAGGAUGAUCCGCCACACUGGGACUGAGACACGGCCCAGACCCCUACGGGAGGCAGCAGUGGGGAAUUUUGGACAAUGGGCGAAAGCCUGAUCCAGCCAUGCCGCGUGUUUGAAGAAGGCCUUCGGGUUGUAAAGGACUUUUGUCAGGGAGGAAAUCCCUAGCGUUAAUACCGCUGGGGGAUGACAGUACCUGAAGAAUAAGCACCGGCUAACUACGUGCCAGCCGCCGCGGUAACAC